AUUGAACGCUGGCGGCAGGCCUAACACAUGCAAGUCGAACGAGUGGCGGACGGGUGACCAAUGUCUGGGCAACUGCCUGAUGGAGGGGGAUAACUAACGGACACGGUAGCUAAUACCGUAUACCUGCACAUGUGCCGAGUUGGGAUUCGGGAGUUGGUGGGGCAACGGCUAACCAAGGCGACGAGCCCUACCUGGUCUGCGAGGAUGACCAGCCACACUGGAACUGAGACACGGUCCAGACUCCUACGGGAGGCAGCAGUGGGGAAUAUUGCACAAUGGGCGAAAGCCGGAUGCAGCCAUGCCGCGUGUGUGAAGAAGGCCUUCGGAUUGUAAAGUACUUUCAGCGGGGAGGCGUUACCCGCAGAAGAAGCACCGGCUAACUCCGUGCCAGCAGCCGCGGUAAUAC
rnacentral:rRNA from 1 species